CAAAAUCGUCUUUUCAAGUGCCAUUUCUGUUCAGCCGACUGGGGACUGUGGAGACGACGCCCGUGGCGACCUCGCCUUUGUCCGCGGGUACGGCGACCAUGCCGUCACCGGGCCCUCCUUGGCCAUGGGGAGAGCGGGGCAGGGCAGUAGAAACCUAGCCGCCACCGACUCUCGUGCCCAGCCUUUUUCCUCUUUCUUCCUCCUCCUCCCGCAUCUCCUCCAAACCCUAGUCGCCGCUGGAAGGCCAGGUGAGCAGGAAGGCAAAGGGGACCAACAGAUCGGAGCUUGCUGGCUCCAUGAAAGAGCACGGGGAUGCGGAGAAGCGGGCGGCCACGCGGGGAUGCGGAGAAGGGGGCGCUGGCGGCGGCGCUUGUUGAGCGGGAGGGCAUCCAAGGAGGUCCAGAGGUUGGGGAUGCAGAUAAGGGGGUGCUGGCGGCGGCGCUUGUUCAACUGUCAACGACGAGGCCGACGUGAGGAGCAAGCGGCGAGGACGACGACCUGACAUGCGGAUUGGCCAGCUCCCAGGCUCCUCUGCCGCUCCUUCCCCCCCAUCGGCCAGGAACAGCAGCUUGAGGUCUGGAGAUUGAUUUGAAUCAAGAAUUUGUACAGUUGCUUGAUGAAGGUAGAGGUUGUUUUCUUGGAACUCUGUCAAAGCAGGAUUACCAUUCUGGAGCCACAACACCUUCAGGGCGAACCAAUUGAAUUUAGUGAAGCGAGAGCUGGUGAGCGAAUCAGGCAGUGGAGCAGCCCUGCGCCACUUGAGAUCUACGCAUGGGAUCGAGACCAACUAGCACUGCGAUGGCCUACUCAACAAAACGUGUGAGAUCUCAGUUGGUACUCUGCCUUACACGGUCACAACGGUAUGGAAGUGUAGGUAGAUUUUAAAUACAUGAGAACCUUACUUUCCUGCAAACGGAUAUAGUAUCCUCUCAUUUAUGCAUCUCAAUCAAUGAAUGUCCUGACAGCUGAUAUUACAUGAGAUAAGUCUUUCAUUGUCCAUUCAUUUUGCUAAUUUUACAUACAUGUGUGCUUUUGUCAUG